rnacentral:lncRNA from 1 species
UCUGUUUAGGCUAAUUGUGUUAAAUGUGUUAGUUUGCUUCUCUCCAUAUGUUAGUCCUAGAAGCCAGUUAUAGUGAAUUUAAUCGGAUGAAUCUUCUGUAUUAUACUCUACCUAAGUACGAUAGGACUUGUAUUCGUUUAAAGUUUCUCGAUGUUUGGGUUAGAACCCGUGGUCGUCCUUGUUGUACUUAGUCAUUUGUUGACGUCUAGUAUUUUCUCACAAGUGUUGCAGCGCCUCGUCAUUGUGCUUAAUUAUUUAUUGUGUGUAAUAUGUUGUGUUAUUCUUCCUUAUGUUUAUACAUGUGCAUUGUACAUCUAAUUAGGUACGCUAGCUGAAAAUCGUGCGAAGCGAGGGGUGUGGAUCAAAACAACCCACAAGACGAUGUCGGCCGAUGAUCCUGAAGCUAGAUGGACUAAGCGGGUGUCAGAAUAAAAGUUGAUCGUCAAGUGGCCAUCAUCUAACAACACUAACAUAGUGUUAUCCCAGGCAAGCCCCGGUGCAUUUGUCACCUUCCUUGUGUUUACAAAAUUUUAUCACUUAUAUGCUGCAUUAGGUGAUAGGAGUUGAGUGAUUAAACACUUGAUGCAUUACCAUCCUUGAAAGGUUGAUUACCACACCUUGUCACCCGUUUUAUAAAAGCUAGAGAUGCUUAGUCUUGCUGAUAGAUUAAGAAACAUAUUUUUGAUAUAUGACUCAUGUUUUUACAAAAAAGAAAAUGGGCUUGGGAUAAUGAAGGCAUCAAGACGUUGAUAAAUUCAUUAUCCAGGCAUGGCCCCUCUGUUAGGCGCCAAAUUUUUGAAAUAGUUUAAAAUGGGACCAGACGUUGAGCAGAAAAGGUCGCCCGUCUGUGUCGAUUAAGGACCGUACCGAUUGUUGGCCUGAUGAUCUAGGACAUUUUAACUGGCCACAUACCUCGUCAUGGGUAAGCCUGAACCUGGCUAUUCCAUACGUGAAAAGACAACCGCGCACUGGGCGUGGGAGAUGGUGGGAGUAGCAGUUACCCUCCUGGCAAGAGGCUGGAUGGUAGGGUAAUGUGCUCCCGGGUAGCGCGGACCUGUUCAUGUAGUGGAGGAUCCGUGGGAAUGGUUGACAUAUGCAAGGGUUAAGUGCUACAUAUGUCGUGUGGUUGGAGAUCCCCAGCUGGGUAUUAAUCGAUUCGAAUCGCCGUUACUUCUCGGAUAUGAAGACUGGAUCGCUGCCCUUCAUCGUAGAUAACUAGCGAAACAAACUUUUGAUUUAAAAGAAAGUUAGUAUAGGACAAGUGAAUGCUCUAGAUUAGGCAAAUCUAGGAAAAGUACUUAACUUGUGAUGUAAAAUUUUGGCAUAAGGAUCCACUACUAGUAAGCUUUUCUGCAAAAAUGAGUCUUUGAAAUUUGAUAAGCUUUACCUUGAUUCCCGACAAACCAGCAUACCCUUGAGAGUCUUUUCUUUAGUCGGGUAAGUCUUGUUGAGUAAUUGCGUACUCAGGGUUUUAUUCCCUGUUGUUUUUCAGGUUGUAAUUUUGUUCUGUUGUGGAUGGUGCUAAGUGCCGGUGGGCUCGGCCUUCUUAUAUAAGUAUAUCCCUCCUAUAGUUUCUUUAACGAGGAUUGUCACUUAAGCUAGCAUGUAUUUCAAAUUUACAAAUAUUCUAUAACAUUUUAAAGUGUAAUUCUUUUGAAACACUUUCUUUUGUAAUCACUCCGAUGAGGUAUAAUAAA